CUCUCUGGUGUGCAUUCUUCAGAAUGGACAGGAUCAGGCGCUGUCGCUCUACCAAUGCAGAAUUAGCUGCCUUGUCUAGCAGAGCUAUGCCUGCUGCAUACUUAUUUUGCUCCGCCAGAACAUGAACAGCCCGAACAAGGUCUCCCUCUGGGUUAUCUGCAGGACUUUCUGAUGGGUCUGAUCUCAUGACGUGAUUGCGUAUCUGAGGCAACACGUUGCUGUCUCAUUUGCGCCUUUGGCUGGCCUCGUCUGGCGAGUCUGAAAGAUUGAGGAGGUGAUGAUGGAUCACAGAAAGAUUGGCGUCCAGCUUUGCUAGCUGCCUUGGAAGCUGUUCCACAGCCUGAACGCCAAACAAAAUGUCAAAGUGACUCAUAAAAAUUGAGACCUUUUACUGACAGUGGAAGCGGAAUGUGGACUGUGCCAUGCACCUGCAAUGAUUGCACUAUGGACGCCUCCUUUGCUGCUGUCCUCCUUGCUAUU
rnacentral:lncRNA from 1 species